CUAGCUAGCAGACGCUGUGUUUUUGAUGCUGUCGAGUGCAGCGUUGGCACGCCGCUCUCUCUGUCCCUCCAGUUUGUGGUUGAGCCAUCGUACGGGAAAGGUAGGCGUCCUUCUCGGUUGAUUCAUUGCUCUUUUGGUGCAUUGUAAUGUACUUAGUUUGUUGGUUACUGACGCCAUUUAACUUAAUCGCAGCCCUGUCCAUCCGCAACUGGCGUGAACCCAGCUGGCAGUCGGCUACUGUUCUGGAGCUUGUAUGCCGAGCUCGGCAAACUCGAGUAUCACUGGUGGCGUGCUUCCACUUCGUGCCCUUUGUGGUUGACUACUUGCGUGCCGCUUCGAGAGAACCAAAGUUUCCUUGAUGCACGGUACCCAGCUGGAACCCGGCGUGACCCAUAUCCCGACUUGCGCUUGGCAGACCUGAUCUGGAGGUAAUGCCUUCAUUUUCUGUAAGAGAUGCUUAGCACUUGACUUGUGUAGGGAGUUGUGUGGGGUGGGAGUGGGGGUGCUCCGCAGGUGUGAUGGCGGGACUGGCGGCGUGGUGCUUUUGAUAUCGCGUUGUGGUGUCGCGGUUGCACCUGUGGGAGCGCCCGCAUUUCCACAAUACACAACUCCUGCUUAAUUGAUUUAUAAACGCCGUUUCUAAUGGUAACUUUCUCGUUAAAUGUACAUAGGAGGAGUUGGUGCCUUCGACUACACUGAUGCAGUAUCACAGAGAAGGGGGGCAUUACUGUUCU